ACGCUGGCGGCAGGCCUAACACAUGCAAGUCGAGCGGUAGAGAGAAGCUUGCUUCUCUUGAGAGCGGCGGACGGGUGAGUAAUGCCUAGGAAUCUGCCUGGUAGUGGGGGAUAACGUUCGGAAACGGACGCUAAUACCGCAUACGUCCUACGGGAGAAAGCAGGGGACCUUCGGGCCUUGCGCUAUCAGAUGAGCCUAGGUCGGAUUAGCUAGUUGGUGAGGUAAUGGCUCACCAAGGCGACGAUCCGUAACUGGUCUGAGAGGAUGAUCAGUCACACUGGAACUGAGACACGGUCCAGACUCCUACGGGAGGCAGCAGUGGGGAAUAUUGGACAAUGGGCGAAAGCCUGAUCCAGCCAUGCCGCGUGUGUAAAGAAGGUCUUCGGAUUGUAAAGCACUUUAAGUUGGGAGGAAGGGCAUUAACCUAAUACGUUAGUGUUUUGACGUUACCGACAGAAUAAGCACCGGCUAACUCUGUGCCAGCAGCCGCGGUAAUACAGAGGGUGCAAGCGUUAAUCGGAAUUACUGGGCGUAAAGCGCGCGUAGGUGGUUUGUUAAGUUGGAUGUGAAAUCCCCGGGCUCAACCUGGGAACUGCAUUCAAAACUGACUGACUAGAGUAUGGUAGAGGGUGGUGGAAUUUCCUGUGUAGCGGUGAAAUGCGUAGAUAUAGGAAGGAACACCAGUGGCGAAGGCGACCACCUGGACUAAUACUGACACUGAGGUGCGAAAGCGUGGGGAGCAAAC
rnacentral:rRNA from 1 species